UUUCUAUAUUAUAUAUAUACAAAUAUUUUAUUUUAUAAUAUUGCCUUAAAAUGAAGUGUUUUAAUGAAAUUAAUAAAUUUAAAGUUGAUGGGGGAAAGAGAAGUAACACAAUUUCAAGAUAAAAAAAACACGAUCUGAAGAGGAGAGAAGGAAGUUGGUGUCGGCAAGUGAGAACAUUGAUUUAUAGAAGAAGAGCAAAGUCUGAUUGUUUAUUUUAUUUUGGUUUUUUAAGUGAACUUUGAUUCUUUAAUAGCACACGCUGUUAAUGCUUAAUAAAUGAAUUAAUUUUAUUAUAUAAUAAUAUAUCAGUUACGUAAAUAAAAAUAUAGAAACUGAAAUUUAAUAUUUUCUAUAAAAAAAUUAAAACAUAAAAUAAUAGUUUGGAUAUGUAUAUAGUUUAUGUUUAAGAACAUUGAGAAAAUACUUAACUUUAGUUUUUAUAUUUUUAUUUUCAUUUGACAUACAAAAUAUUUUUUUUUUGACAGCUUUUGACAUACAAAAUAUAAAAAAUAAUUUACACUAUUUAAAAUUUUCUCUAACAAGACAAG
rnacentral:lncRNA from 1 species